UGUUAUGUCAACAAUUAUUUUAAAAGCCCCUGCUAUACAACAGGCACUGUGCUGGUGCUAAGACACAGCCGAGAGCAAAAUCAAAGGUCCCAACAAAGUAUAGACUCUCAUUGCCGGAUCUCACAAACACCUAUAAAGGAGAAUCACUUCAGAAGUCCCGCCCACUUCUGAACAUUUGGGGGAUCAUCCAGCAUGGACAGGGAGUCAACUGUAGAAGGAAGGGAGAGUUUCUUACAGCUCCCUUCCUGCAGCUCUGCCAGCUGGGAACAUGGAAGGGAAGGAGGAGGAGCUUGAAAGAGGUUACUGGGACAUGGCGGCUAUGGCUGAGGUAAGUUGAGGGUUCCUUUCUUAAUUGAUUACCCUCAGAAGAAAUCCGGCCUUCCUUUGUACCCU
rnacentral:lncRNA from 1 species